UACGGAGGGUGCGAGCGUUGUCCGGAAUCAUUGGGCGUAAAGGGCGCGUAGGUGGCCCGGUCAGUCCGUGGUGAAAGCGCGGGGCUCAACCCCGCGUCGGCCAUGGAUACUGCUGGGCUGGAGCACUGUAGAGGCAGGCGGAAUUCCGGGUGUAGCGGUGGAAUGCGUAGAGAUCCGGAGGAAGACCGGUGGCGAAGGCGGCCUGCUGGGCAGUUACUGACACUGAGGCGCGACAGCGUGGGGAGCAAACAGG
rnacentral:rRNA from 1 species